rnacentral:rRNA from 1 species
AUCCUUAAAAGCCGGUCUCAGUUCGGAUCGGGGUCUGCAACUCGACCCCGUGAAGUCGGAGUCGCUAGUAAUCGCAGAUCAGCAACGCUGCGGUGAAUACGUUCCCGGGCCUUGUACACACCGCCCGUCGCGUCAUGAAAGUCGGUAACACCCGAAGCCAGUGGCCUAACCGUCGGGAGGGAGCUGUCGAAGGUGGGAUCGGCGAUUGGGACGAAGUCGUAACAAGGUAGCCGUACCGGAAGGU